UCAUGUCACCAGCUGCCUCUGAUUUCAGUGAGAAAUGCAGAAAUUUAUAGGGAACUGUAAAAUGGGGACAGGUUUUGAGUUUUCUAAAUUGAGGUUUAACUGGAAAACUUCUGAAGGUUUAGGAAACCACAGAGCUGGGCUGUGGGAAGCUGGUUUCUUUUCCGGUCAGGACAAAUAAACCUACAAACACAUAUCUAACUCUCAAAGUGUUGGGAGAGAGAACUCAGUGCUCUUUGCAGAGGAGGAAAAGGAAAAAUCAGCCUUGUGGGCAACAGGAGGAGGUCACAUUGGCCAGUAGGCAGCACCCUGCGCUGGCAGAGGGAGAAAUCCGAGCUUCAGCAGCGCCCGCCAGAGCAGGGCUCACCAACUCCAGCUUUCCAGGGGCACGUCUCCAGAGCCCAGGGGAGGCACCGCGUCCAGCCUCCCUUCAGAGCACGGCGGAUGGGGACCCCCACCCCGGCCACCCACAGGACAUGCAGAUCUGCUCUGCCAGUCCCCUCCUUUAUCCUGUGCGACUGACUCCAGCAUUGGAGAGAAAACAACUGAGAGCUCAGAUAGUGUCUCCCCUCCCCGGAAGUUCCCCAGGAACUAGAGUCACAUGGAGUAAGCUGACAUGACCAGACAGGAGCCAGCAGCCACAGGAAAGCAAGCACUCAGCUGGAGUCCCACCAUGUUGGGGCAGCUCUCAGAUCUGGGAGGAGCCCCGAGGAAUGGAGUUGACCUUCUAUGGAUUGAUCCUUCUGAAACCAACAUGGAAGCUUGGAGAACACAUUCACAUUCAUUUGUUCUGUGGCCCUGCUCUUUUUAAAACUCUGACAUGAUUUGAAAUACACUGGCAUGAACACUCCCUCUUGAAUUUUCUCAUCUUCUGUUCCAUACUUCUAUGUUGUGUGGGGCGUACAGAAAACCAUUCCUCAUUUAUUCAAAGAUAGACCACGAAUUUGGUGGAAACAAUACUGGUAAUCGAAUACCAUUGCGUAAGUGUCUUCUUAACCUAUCCUGCACACAAUUAAUUUCAAAUUAGUCAGUAACUUUGCUGGAUUAUUCAGGCAAAUAUGGCUUUAAUUCACUAAGAGCUCCUGGAAUUUCAUCAGCUGGAAGGAACGCUAAUGCAGACAAGUGACACAUUUUGAAACGAAAAUUUUUGCAUUGCUCUAUCACAUGGUCAAUCCAUUCAUCUGAAUUUCCUCCCAAAUGCACUGGGAUGAAUGGAAAAACACAAAACUUUUUUGGUUUCACAUUGAAAUUUAUCUUUAUAGGUCUUAAUCAUAUCUAAUUCUGACUGUAUAAUUACAAUUUGAGAAUUCAAUUGAAGUGAUUCAAAGUUCUUAAAAUCUUCAAAUAAGCAUUUAUAAAGGGUUUCAGUUUUUCUAGUAAUUAACAUGGAAACAAAUGAAUAAAUUUCAGAGUUUUCAGGUCCAAAAGGGACAUAACUUGUAUAUCAUAUUUGAUUAAAAAAAUAGCAAGAGACAGUUUUGAAUGUGCCAUCCAUUAGGCAAAUGAAAAGGCACUAGUGCUUUUUUAACGUUAGAUUUAGUGUAAGUCUGCUUCUUCAACAGACAAAUCCUUAACCAAACCAGUUCACCAAAUAAUGUGUUCUGUAACACUGGAGGAACCUCCAUAUUACUAAGUAUUUUGGGGUUGGAAGGUUACUGAACUUGUCAAAUUCUUUUUAUUCUCUAUGUGAGCAGGGGCAGAGAUAUAACAUGAUUGGAUCAUUUGGCAACUUUCCUGGUGCAACCAAAAUUACCUCCAUUCCUUCUCCAGAAUUCAACCUUCUACCUACAAGGGGAAUUACAAUGCCUUAUGGAUUUUCCUUGGUAGAAUGAGAUUGUUUUCAGCAAUCUGAAAAACCCUCUCCUGUUGGGUCCCUGGACUGAUGUCCUCCAGUUGAGUGAAGUUGUUGAGACUACAGAAGUAUCUGCAGUUGUUGGGCCUGUUACCAGGGGGCUGAGUGGGCAUGGAUCAUGUGGUCUCUGGGAAGACUGAAUGGCCUCUAGGACCUUGAUAUUGGGACAAGAGUCUGUUUCAGGCUUCCCUUCUGGGUCCACAGAUCAUGGGCCUAUUAGUUGUGACUCUCCUGUUAGCUCUGGUCUGGCCUGUUAGCUGUUUCUCCCUGGGCUGCCGAGGUGGCUGCAGUCAAUCAGAACUGUUGCUGGACUGUGGCUGGGAGAGGAACCAUUCAGACUGCUGCUUAAAGGCCCUCAGCUGAGACUGAGUUCUGGAGGACUGAGAUGACUGUGCCUCUUCUGGGCUCCUGGGAAGUCAGAACUGCUCUCAGACCACAGAUGAGAGGGUCAAGAGAAAGACCCGGGCCUCUCGUGGUCUGAGAGGCAGGUGGGUCCCUACAUCCUGAGAUGGCUGUCCUCAACCUAUUAAACAAUGCGUAUGAGACCCCCUUGCCUGGCACGCUCAUGGACCUUCCCAGCGUUGCCAACACUUGCAGUCUGAAGCAUGAAUUCCAUAUCUUUUGCUUCUUUAAGAAGGUCCAGCCAGUCAUGAAAUUCUGAAGGACUCCACCUCCGUGACGCUUCUUGAGCCUGGCCAUUUCUCCCCUCUUCCACUCCACGGCAUCGGGGCCACCAUCAUCUCAGCAGGAUGAUUGUGAUGGCCUCCUCGCCCUCCUCCCCACGUUCACCCUCGCACCCUACUCUAUUUUAAAAUCACAGCCAGAGAGGCCCUGCAAAAUGUCUGUAACACUAAGUCAAUUCCCUUGUAAACCUUUCCAUCAAAAAUUAUUAAACAAUUAUUUGGAUUGUCUACUGAU